GACGAACGCUGGCGGCGUGCUUAACACAUGCAAGUCGAACGGUGACCUCGGAGCUUGCUCCGGGCGAUCAGUGGCGAACGGGUGAGUAACACGUGAGUAACCUGCCCCAGACUCUGGGAUAACCUCGGGAAACCGGGGCUAAUACCGGAUACGAGACGCUCCUGCAUGGGAUGCGUCUGGAAAGAUUUAUCGGUCUGGGAUGGACUCGCGGCCUAUCAGCUUGUUGGUGAGGUAAUGGCUCACCAAGGCGACGACGGGUAGCCGGCCUGAGAGGGCGACCGGCCACACUGGAACUGAGACACGGUCCAGACUCCUACGGGAGGCAGCAGUGGGGAAUAUUGCACAAGGGGCGCAAGCCUGAUGCAGCGACGCCGCGUGGGGGAUGAAGGCCUUCGGGUUGUAAACCCCUUUCAGUAGGGAAGAAGCGAAAGUGACGGUACCUACAGAAGAAGCGCCGGCUAACUACGUGCCAGCCGCCGCGGUAACAC
rnacentral:rRNA from 1 species